UUCCUCAUCACUGUCAUCAUUAGAUCACAUUAUCAUCACAAAUAAUCAAGUGUAAUCAUCAAGGUAGAAAAACGAAAGUGUAACAAUCAAAAUGAAAAUGAAAAUCAUUUUUCUCUUUCUCUGUGUUUACUUCAAUUCGCCGAUGAUUAUGCUUUUUAUGCUCUUCCAUUGAUUAAGCUGAGGAAAAAAAAUUCUCCAAAAUCAGCUCAUCAUAUGUUCAUCAUUUUAAUCAUUCUAAACAAAGAAGAUCAGUUUAAUUGUCAUCAUUUUUAUUUCUUUCUCUCUUUUUUUUAUUACAUUUCCUUCAUUUGACAUUAUCUUUACAUCUUAAAUAUCCUUCAACUUCAUCAGUUUUCAUCACCUUUGUAUCUUUACAAACAAAAAAAGAUCUUCAUUUAGACCUUGGUUUUUAUUUUCUUCUUCUCAUCAUCAGGCCUUUCAUCAUUUAUCCAUCUCAAUCUUACUAAAUUUGCUGAUGAAUUAUUAAAUCAUAGGAAUGAGAGAGUAAAACUCUGAAAAGGAUCAUCAAAAGAAGCUGAUAAACCUGAUAAGCUCAAUCAAUAUGCCAAAGUUAAGUAGCUUUAUAAUCAGAAUCAUUUCUUUCUCUCUAUUUCUUUUAUCUUCCACCUACUUUUCGCCUCAUCUUGUUAAUCUCUUAUCAUCAUCAUCAUCAUUUCCAUUUACCCUUCUCUCCAUUUUCUUUUUCAUAUUCUAGCCUUUUGUCUCCACAUAACAACAAGUGAUUAUAUAUAAACGCCAUCAUGCAAACCCUAAAAGCUUGUAAUUUCUUUUCUCUCUUUUCAUAUACACAGAUACAAAAAUUUUGUUCCAUUAAAGUCAAUCAACAAUCACCAUCACCACCACCACUGAAAAUUGGAACACAUUCAAGUGGAAACAAAAAGAUCACCCAUCAGUACAUGACCCACCUCACCCACAAAAAGGCAACUGUCAAAAUGAAGGCCAGUGAGAUGAAGAUAACCAACGAUAUACCGAUAGAUACAAAAUCUUUCUAGAUAACGGGAUGAAUAUAAGAGAAGGAGAAAAAAAAGAUUCUUCCAAAAAGAUUCCAAUAGCAAUACAUUGACAAAGAUUAAAAUACCAUUUCAUGUGUACGAGAAAGAGAGAGAGAGAGAGAGAGAGAGAGUGUGUGUGUAUGUUGCAUUAAUAACAAUCAACAGGAGGAUGAGAAGCUUCAUCAAGUGUAAAAAAGUAAAUCAACAACCUUCAAUACACCAACACGCUUCAUAAACAGAUAGAUGUAUACACAGAGAAGAUGAAGGAAGAUAAUGAAGCACAAAAAGAGAGAGACACUUAAAACAUUUAUACACAUGACAUGGGAUUUCUCAAGGCCUACAUUACCUAUGGAACUACUUUCUUUCUGUGGCUUUUCCUCUAAUACCCUGGAUAAUUCUGAAUACAUAUUACAUGUAAAUUCCUUCAUCUUCCAUGUAUCUUAAAGAAAGUGAAACUUAUGGAAGUUUAAAUGGAGACAAAAUGGUGGAGAGACCAAGGAAAGAGGAAAAGGAAACAUAGAAAGAGCAACAACAACAUCAACAAGUAUUAAAAAAAAAGAAAUCGAGAGAAAACCAUUUGAUGGAAAUAGUUUAUUCUUUCAUCAGAUUGUUUAUGGAUCAAUGUGUUUUCAGCAUAAAUUGCCAGAAAUGAGAUUGUGGACGCUGAUUAAAGAGGAUUAGAAGCAAAUAAAGAAGGAGGAUUAUGUGGGGACAGAGGAACCAGUAAAGUGCCCAAAAUGUCUUCCAAUUUCACAACUCAAUUGAUGAAAGAAAGAGAAAUAAAGAGAGACUUAGAUCUUCUUUCUUUCUCACUUUCUCUUUCACUCUAAUUUUCCGUUACCUUGAAUACACCUCCCUAGUAACUCUCAUCUCUCUCUCUCUCUUCCUCUGUCUUUUGCUUACAUUUAAAAAUCAUACACCCCAUCUAAGCCUCAUAAGAAGAGUGUCAAUCUUAUGGACUGUGUGUCAAAUCUUAUCAGUUCAAUCUUUCGCUGAAUAUUAUCUAACUCAUGAUGCUGAUAAAAUCAAAAAGGAAGGAGGAAAAUCAUCAUAAAAGAUGACAACUUAUGGUUUCCUAGGAAAAAUAUGUCAUCCUCAUCCUAAUAAUUACCAUAUGAGAGACAAAAAGUAAUCAUUUCAACAGUUACACACAUGAUCCAAUUUUCAUCCAUUCACGUAAUUCAUUCAAAUUCAUGGUAAUACCUUCAUCAUGUAACAACACACACAUACACAAGCCUCACCCGAAUUGAAAAAGAGAUGAGGAUGAAGAAAAAAAAAUCAAUUCUCAUUUAAAACUAAUUCCAUUCAAACUAAUCUCAUUUAACUAACAAUUAUAAUGAUAAUCAAAACCUCUCGAGACACAAGAGAGAUGGAGAAAGUGAGAGACAUAUAAUCAUUACCAAUCAUUUGGAUAACAAUUAGUGAGAGAAAAAAAAAAUAAUCAGUCUCUUCAAUCAUCAGAAACGAUAAUGAAAAAAGCAAAAACAUUGAAUGUUCAAUGAUAUUAAUCCAACUUUCCACCAGGUGAUUCCCGAUGAUUUAAUAUAUUUAAUGGUUGGAAAUCAUGAUGCACAACGAAUUUAUUUACACUCAUUGAAAUGGAAUGGAAAGGAGAUUCUCUCUUUUUUUUUGGUGAAAAGAAAGGAAAAGAUGAUGAUGAUGAUAAUGAUGAUGAAGAAUGAACAAAAAUAAAUACAAUUCACAAGGAAAAGAAUAGGUUAUUUUCACGACUCUUUGAUUCCUCUUUUUGAUUGGAAGACAAUAAACACAUCGCCAUUCAACGUUAUACCAACAUCUCCCAAGAGUAUUGGCCUCGUUCACCUUUACCAGCCAAAGUUUAUCUAAGGAAAACAACAAAGUCCAAUAAAAAUGCAAUGAAUCUCAAACUCUAACGACCCAUAAACCGAUAAAAACUCUUGGCAAGGCAAAUUCAUGGCAAAAAAUAGGGAUUCAUGUUGAAAGAUGAUAAUGGAAGAGAAGGAGAAAAAAAAAUCAAAGAGCAAAAUAUAAAAGAAUAACGGACUCAAAUUCGAUAUAAUAUAUUUUCCUCAGCCAAUAUAAUGACAAUCAAGACUCCAAUGAUAUCAUCAACUAUUAAGGUGAUAAAAAGUGAAAAUUAUGUGCUAGAAAAAUCAACCCCACCGAGGAAGAGGAAGCGGAAAAGUGGAAAACACCAAUAACAAUGGAUAACUUCAUCUCUCUCUCUCUCUCUCUCUCACUCAAUGAGGAGUCAAAUUAUUCAUCACUCAUCAAUAAAAUUGGUUCAAUAAUCACAAGCAGAUAUAUUUUUUUAUACACAUCAACAGCGACAAUUAUGUUAAUUGAAUCAGUAACUUAUCAAAAAGUACUUACAACAAUUAGCAUUGUGUGUAAAUGAUUCAUAUACGCUGGUAUACAAAGUCACCUUAACAUAUAAAUAGCUUAUCAUUAAGCUGUUAAAGUUAUAUAAAUAUGAUAUAAUAUAUAAAUUGACAAUAUGAUGAAAAAAACAUUUACAACAAUUUAAUAAUCAUGACAAUGAUAUUUAUAUUUCAAUAUGAAAUUAUUGUUGGAAACACAGACCAAACAAUGUUAAGUGGAUAACCGGCCCACCCCAUUGCCACCCAUUGGAAAAAGACAAGAAGAUGAUCAAUUGGAUAACAAUACUACUAAAGGAUGGAGAAACAUGAUGUAAAGAGCAAAAAGACAAGAUGAUAAAGAGGAUGGGGUGAGGAUGAUGAUAGAGAAAAAAAGUUCCAAGUGUCUCAUCAUCAUCAUCUCUUUGAAUCAUCUUGUUUGUCAAGAGGCUAUUCAUCUGAAUGAGAGAGCGAGAGAGAGAGAGAGAGGGAAGAUCUCCUUUUAAAUGGAUAUGAUGUUAAUAAUAAGAUACAAAUGAAUGGAUACAGUUAAUUGUCGUAAUUUACCCAAUUUUUAUUGUGUUUGUAGUAUCCACUCAUCUUCAUCAUCAUUAUCAAUGCAUUUAAAGUACAUCAACACGCGAUCUCAUCAGUAUUAUUAAUAUUAUUAUCAUCAUAAUGUUAACACUACACGAAAGGAAUAGAGGGGCAAAAUUAUCUCUUUCUUUUCCUCUUUCUUUUCAACUAAUUUACAAUUUAUCGGUAUCAUCAUCAUAAUCA